rnacentral:rRNA from 1 species
ACUCCUACGGGAGGCAGCAGUGGGGAAUAUUGCACAAUGGGGGAAACCCUGAUGCAGCCAUGCCGCGUGUGUGAAGAAGGCCUUCGGGUUGUAAAGCACUUUCAGUAGGGAGGAAGGUAGUGUAGUUAACACCUGCAUUAUUUGACGUUACCUACAGAAGAAGCACCGGCUAACUCCGUGCCAGCAGCCGCGGUAAUACGGAGGGUGCGAGCGUUAAUCGGAAUUACUGGGCGUAAAGCGCAUGCAGGCGGCCUGUUAAGUCAGAUGUGAAAGCCCGGGGCUUAACCUCGGAAUUGCAUUUGAAACUGGCAGGCUAGAGUCUUGUAGAGGGGUUAGAAUUUCAGGUGUAGCGGUGAAAUGCGUAGAGAUCUGAAGGAAUACCAGUGGCGAAGGCGGCCCCUGGACAAGACUGACGCUCAGAUGCGAAAGCGUGGGAGCAAACGAGGAUUA